GAUGAACGCUGGCGGCGUGCCUAAUACAUGCAAGUCGAGCGAACAGACGAGGAUCUUGCUCCGUGGACGUUAGCGGCGGACGUGUGAGUAACACGUGUAUAACCUACCUAUAAUACUGGUAUAAUUUGGGAAAACGGGAUCUAAUACCGUAUAAUAUCUUGAACCGCGUGGUUCAUUGGUGAGUGACGGUUUUUGGGUCUCUACUCGCUGGUUCCCGGCCGCUUUGGCUAGUUGGUACGUUAACGGCUUACCAAGGCAACCAGGCGUAGCCGACGUGAGAGGGUGAUCGGCGACCCUGGAACUGAGACACGGACAAGGGUACUACGGGAGGCAGCAGUCGCGAAUCUUCCGCAGCGGGCGAAAGCAUGACGCAGCAACGCCGAGUGUGUGAUGAAGGUCUCCGGAUCGUAAAAAUCUGUUACUAGGGAAGAACCACUGUGUCAGUAACUGUGCCGGUAUUGACGGUAACUAAUCAGAAAGCACCGGCUAACUACGUG
rnacentral:rRNA from 1 species